GACGAACGCUGGCGGCGUGCCUAAUACAUGCAAGUCGAGCGAAGUUUUUCUGGUGCUUGCACUAGAAAAACUUAGCGGCGAACGGGUGAGUAACACGUAAAGAACCUGCCCCAUAGACUGGGACAACUAUUGGAAACGAUAGCUAAUACCGGAUAACAGUAUUUCUCGCAUGAGAGAUAUUUAAAAGUUGGUUAUGCUAACACUAUGAGAUGGCUUUGCGGUGCAUUAGCUAGUUGGUGGGGUAAAGGCCCACCAAGGCGACGAUGCAUAGCCGACCUGAGAGGGUGAUCGGCCACACUGGGACUGAGACACGGCCCAGACUCCUACGGGAGGCAGCAGUAGGGAAUCUUCCGCAAUGGGCGAAAGCCUGACGGAGCAACGCCGCGUGAGUGAAGAAGGAUUUCGGUUCGUAAAGCUCUGUUGUUAGGGAAGAAUGGAUAUGUAGUAACUAUACAUGUAAGAGACGGUACCUAAACAGAAAGCCACGGCUAACUACGUG
rnacentral:rRNA from 1 species